AUUGAACGCUGGCGGAAUGCUUUACACAUGCAAGUCGAACGGCAGCACGGGGGCAGCCCUGGUGGCGAGUGGCGAACGGGUGAGUAAUACAUCGGAACGUGCCCGGUCGUGGGGGAUAACGUAGCGAAAGUUACGCUAAUACCGCAUACGAUCUGAGUAUGAAAGCGGGGGACCUUCGGGCCUCGCGCGAUCGGAGCGGCCGAUGUCAGAUUAGGUAGUUGGUGGGGUAAAGGCCUACCAAGCCGACGAUCUGUAGCUGGUCUGAGAGGACGACCAGCCACACUGGGACUGAGACACGGCCCAGACUCCUACGGGAGGCAGCAGUGGGGAAUUUUGGACAAUGGGCGCAAGCCUGAUCCAGCCAUUCCGCGUGCAGGACGAAGGCCUUCGGGUUGUAAACUGCUUUUGUACGGAACGAAAAGGCUCUGGCUAAUACCUGGGGCUCAUGACGGUACCGUAAGAAUAAGCACCGGCUAACUACGUG
rnacentral:rRNA from 1 species